ACGGAAGGCAGCAGUGGGGAAUAUUGGGCAAUGGGCGAAAGCCUGACCCAGCAACGCCGCGUGAAUGAAGAAGGUCUUCGGAUUGUAAGCUUCUUUUAUGAGGGACGAAGGACGUGACGGUACCUCAUGAAUAAGACACGGCUAACUACGUGCCAGCAGCCGCGGUAAUACGUAGGUGGCAAGCGUUAUCCGGAUUUACUGGGUGUAAAGGGCGCGUAGGCGGGGAUGCAAGUCAGGUGUGAAAACUAUGGGCUUAACUCAGAACGUGCAUGUGAAACUGUAUCUCUUGAGUGCUGGAGAGGUAGAUGGAAUUCCUGGUGUAGCGGUGAAAUGCGUAGAGAUAAGGAAGAACACCAGUGGCGAAGGCGAUCUACUGGACAGUAACUGACGCUGAGGCGCGAAAGCGUGGGGAGCAAACAGGAUUAGAUACCCUGGUA
rnacentral:rRNA from 1 species